CAAGGUUUCCGUAGGUGAACNUGCGGAAGGAUCAUUA
rnacentral:rRNA from 2 species